rnacentral:rRNA from 1 species
GACAGAGGUGCCGAGCGUUAUGCGGAAUCACUGGGCUUAAAGCGUGUGUAGGCGGAUCGUUAAGUGCCUUGUGAAAUCCCACGGCUCAACCGUGGAACUGCUUGGCAUACUGGCGAUCUUGAGCCACUUAGGGGCUACCGGAACAAAUGGUGGAGCGGUGAAAUGCGUAGAUAUCAUUUGGAACGCCAAUGGUGAAAACAGGUAGCUGGGAGUGUGCUGACGCUGAGGCACGAAAGCCAGGGGAGCAAACGGG